CCGGGGAGCACCGGAUCUUGGUCUGUGUCCCGGCGCCCUGUGCUCCCAGGCCUGCGCUGUUGGAAUCACGCUCCCGGCUGUGCAGCUCCGU
rnacentral:pre_miRNA from 1 species